AGCAGCCGUGGUAAUUCCAGCUCCAAUAGCGUAUAUUAAAGUUGUUGCAGUUAAAAAGCUCGUAGUUGAAUUUCGAGACCGGUUUACUGGUCGUGCUUUUGUACGUACUGGUAUUAUUGGUUUCUCCUUUCUGACGAAUCAUAAUGCCAUUAAUUUGGUGUUUUGGGGAAUCAGGACUGUUACUUUGAAAAAAUUAGAGUGUUUAAAGCAGGCUCACGCUUGAAUACAUUAGCAUGGAAUAGCGAAAUAGGACGUUUGAUUUUAUUUUGUUGGUUUCUAGGAUCGACGUAAUGAUUAAUAGGGAUAGUUGGGGGCAUUAGUAUUCAAUUGUCAGAGGUGAAAUUCUUGGAUUUAUUGAAGACUAACUACUGCGAAAGCAUUUGCCAAGGAUGUUUUCAUUAAUCAAGAACGAAAGUUAGGGGAUCGAAGACGAUCAGAUACCGUCGUAGUCUUAACCAUAAACUAUGCCGACUAGGGAUCGGAUGAUGUUAAUUUUUUAAUGUACUCA
rnacentral:rRNA from 1 species